GUGUCAGCAGCCGCGGUAAUACGUAGGUGCAAGCGUUGUCCGGAAUUAUUGGGCGUAAAGGGCUCGCAGGCGGUUUCUCAAGUCUGAUGUGAAAGCCCCCGGCUCAACCGGGGAGGGUCAUUGGAAACUGGGGAACUUGAGUGCAGAAGAGGAGAGUGGAAUUCCACGUGUAGCGGUGAAAUGCGUAGAGAUGUGGAGGAACACCAGUGGCGAAGGCGACUCUCUGGUCUGUAACUGACGCUGAGGAGCGAAAGCGUGGGGAGCGAACAGGAUUAGAUACCCCCGUAGUCC
rnacentral:rRNA from 1 species